AUGUUAAAUUUGGUUGACAAAGAUUUUUUAAAUGAUAGAAAUAAAAUCUUACCCAUUCAGCUAAACUACAACUGCUUCACCCAUCCAACUAAGCUUUCUCCCCUUUUUCACAAUUCACCGGAAGAACAGAGGUGCUGUCCACCUCUCCGAAGCACACCAUUGAUUGGGGGAGUCAGAGCUGGCCAAAUGGUGGCCAGCAGAAGAGAUGCCAUGGUCAUGCCAAGGAAAUGCGAUCUGCACGAUGUGGUGCUUGACAUUAAGUGUUGGACACAUAACUUUCCCUUCUCUGGAAUCGUCAAGACUUCUUGGCCCCCAUGAUUCUCUGCACUGGGACCCAGAAAUCUGUGUUUUAAGAAGCCCUGCAGAAGAUUGUGAUGCACACUCAGGUACGUAA
rnacentral:lncRNA from 1 species